GAAGCUGGUCAGACAGUCGCCGCCUGGCGUUCUUCUUGAACACAGGGGGAGGAAAGUCCGGGCUCCAUAGAGCAGGAUGACGGCUAACAGCCGUCCACCGUAAGGUGAGGAACAGGGCCACAGAGACGAGCGUAUUCAGUUACGGUGAAACGCGGUAACCUCCAUCCGGAGCAAGACCAAAUAGGCAGGCAAUGAUGCGGCUCGCGGAGCCUGCGGGUAGGUUGCUUGAGUGCACAGGUAACUGUGCAACUAGAGGAAUGACUGUCCACGACAGAACCCGGCUUAUCGGCCAGCUUCAUCA
rfam:Nitrosomonas sp. AL212, complete genome.